rnacentral:rRNA from 1 species
ACCCGUGUUUACUGUACCUUAGUUGCUUCGGCGGGCCCGCCAUUCAUGGCCGCCGGGGGCUCUCAGCCCCGGGCCCGCGCCCGCCGGAGACACCACGAACUCUGUCUGAUCUAGUGAAGUCUGAGUUGAUUGUAUCGCAAUCAGUUAAAACUUUCAACAAUGGAUCUCUUGGUUCCGGCAUCGAUGAAGAACGCAGCGAAAUGCGAUAACUAGUGUGAAUUGCAGAAUUCCGUGAAUCAUCGAGUCUUUGAACGCACAUUGCGCCCCCUGGUAUUCCGGGGGGCAUGCCUGUCCGAGCGUCAUUGCUGCCCAUCAAGCACGGCUUGUGUGUUGGGUCGUCGUCCCCUCUCCGGGGGGGACGGGCCCCAAAGGCAGCGGCGGCACCGCGUCCGAUCCUCGAGCGUAUGGGGCUUUGUCACCCGCUCUGUAGGCCCGGCCGGCGCUUGCCGAACGCAAAUCAAUCUUUUUCCAGGUUGACCUCGGAUCAGGUAGGGAUACCCGCUGAACUUAAGCAUAUCAAUAA